UACGUAGGGUGCAGGCGUUAAUCGGAAUUACUGGGCGUAAAGCGUGCGCAGGCGGUCUGCUAAGACAGGUGUGAAAUCCCCGGGCUUAACUUGGGAACUGCGCUUGUAACUGGCAGGCUGGAGUGUGGCAGAGGGGGGUGGAAUUCCACGUGUAGCAGUGAAAUGCGUAGAGAUGUGGAGGAACACCGAUGGCGAAGGCAGCCCCCUGGGCUAACACUGACGCUCAUGCACGAAAGCGUGGGGAG
rnacentral:rRNA from 1 species